rnacentral:lncRNA from 1 species
AAACUAAGGACAGUCACCAUUUUUUGGUUUUUGUUUUUUUCCCACCACUCCAGUAGGGCUUAUACAGAAUUGCAGAGCAUGUUUUGGAAGCCAGCAAGCCAAUAAAACAUCUGGUUUCUUCAGGGCAAGGUUAACGUUCAUACACACUCAGCUCAGCAAUGUCCUGGUACCAUGGGAUUUGACCUGUGUCCCCUUCUUCCAGACAGAGGAAAUCUGAAGCAUCAGAGGUCAAGAUCAACAACCACUUCCC